UCUCUUUCCCAGUAGCAUACCUGAUGACUGACCUCUGGCCCAAUACCCAACCUGAUUACUGACCUUUCUUUCCCAGUAACAUACCUGAUGACUGACCUCUGGCCCAAUACCCAACCUGAUUACUGACCUCUCUUUCCCAGUAACAUACCUGAUGACUGACCUCUGUCCCAAUACCCAACCUGAUGCACUAGGUAGUGUGAAGCAAAGUGUUGGCCAUGCAUACUAAGUAGUGUGCGUAUUGGGACACUAGGCCAUAUCACCACCACAAAAAGCUUUGUCUUUUUAAAACCUGUUUGAUUGAACUUUAUGCACUCUAUUCCCUAUGUAGUGCACUACUUUAGACCUGAGCCCCUAUAGGCAAUAGGGUGGUAUUUGGUUUGCACACUUAUUUAGCCUGGGGAAGUCACAUCAAAGUUCAGCAUCUCUUGUUCAAGAUAAGGGUUUACACUAACUGAGUUUCAGAUCUGAUCUAGGAUCAGGUCCACCUUUAAUGAAUCAGAUUAAAUGGACAAGGACCUGUUCCUAGAUCAACAAUCCUACUGAUCUAGGAUCAGUUUAAUGAAUCAGAUGAAAUGGACAGGGACCUGGUCCUAGAUCAACACUCCUACUGAUCUAGGAUCAGUUCAGCCUUGAAUGAAUCAGAUGAAAUGGACAGGGACCUGGUCCUAGAUCAACACCUCUGUUGAUCCGGGAUCAGUUUAAUGAAUCAGAUUAAAUGGACGGGGGACUUGGUCCUAGAUCAACACCUCUGUUGAUCAGGGAUCAGUUUAAUGAAUCAGAUUAAAUGGACGGGGGACCUGGUCCUAGAUCAAAACUCCUACUCUGUGAAUAUGGUUCCAGGGAUAUAGUUUACAAAAUCUGAUUUCUAGGAUAAUAUUUAUUUACGUGGAAUACUAUAGGAUGUAGGGGUAGGGUGCCAUAUUGGAAGGACUGUGUCACAUUCAACAAAAAUAAAAGGUGCCUCUGUGUUGCCCGUAUCACAUACACGCUGUGUCCAAAACGUCACACUCUUCCCUACAUAGGCCACUACGUCAUUCCCUUAAAUAUAUAGUGUACCACUUUUUUAAACUGGUCAAACCGAAAUGGCAACCCGUUCACUACACAGUGCCCCAGUGCACUACUUUAGACCAGGGCUGUAGGGACCUAUUGGAAUAGGGUUUCAGACCAGGGCCCCAGUGCACUACUUUAGACCAGGGCCGUAGGGACCUGUUUGAAUAGGGUUUCGGACCUGGGCCGUAGUGACCUAUUUGAAUAGGGUUUCAGACCAGGGCCGUAGGGACCUAUUGGAAUAGGGUUUCAGACCAGGGCCGUAGGGACCUAUUGGAAUACGGUUUCAGACCAGGGCCGUAGGGACCUAUUGGAAUAGGGUUUCAGACCAGGGCCGUAGGGCACUAUUUGA
ensembl:lncRNA